UCCUCCAACAGAGCCUCCAUUUAGUGGGCUAAAAGUACUUAUUGAUACUGGAAUGAGGCUCCUUGGCAGCCCGCCGGUUUCGACUGACCAUUAGCCUCUACGAUUGAAGGAAUGAAAUGUUCUCGUGUGAAAAUGGCCUACUCAAAGGAAGGACACCAGUCCUUGCCAUUCCCACUAAUAAUUCUGCCAAUUUCUUCCUAAGGCUGCAGAUGUCCGCUUAAGACCACGAUCCGCGAACCUGUUUCAGGAGCAUAAGAUCGUCGAUAAAGUGAACAAUCGACGUGCGACCUGGUUUCACCUAAUUCGAUAUGAAGAAACAGGACAUUUAUGUGAAGGGAUAUGAUGGAGGGUCCUAAUAAUCGCCGGCACCAAGUGACCUAAUAAAAUGGGAUUUUAUAAACAUUCCAAGUGUCCCGAAUUGACGGCGAAAUUCUCGGAGCGGCGUCCAGGACUGCGGUAGCUGUAGGUUUUGCUGACCGGCCGCAAUGGAGCCCAUUUUUAUGAAAAAGGAAACAAAUAAUUGAGCUACAUCAAGCUAGC